rnacentral:rRNA from 1 species
UAAGCGGAGGAAAAGAAACUAACAAGGAUUCCCCUAGUAACUGCGAGUGAAGCGGGAAAAGCUCAAAUUUAAAAUCUGGCGGUCUUUGGCCGUCCGAGUUGUAAUUUAGAGAAGCGUCUUCCGCGCUGGACCGUGCACAAGUCUCCUGGAAUGGAGCGUCAUAGAGGGUGAGAAUCCCGUCUUUGGCACGGAUGCCUGGUGCUUCUGUGAUGCGCUCUCGAAGAGUCGAGUUGUUUGGGAAUGCAGCUCAAAAUGGGUGGUGAACUCCAUCUAAAGCUAAAUAUUGGCGAGAGACCGAUAGCGAACAAGUACCGUGAGGGAAAGAUGAAAAGCACUUUGGAAAGAGAGUGAAACAGUACGUGAAAUUGUUGAAAGGGAAACGCUUGAAGUCAGUCGCGUCGACCGAGACUCAGCCUUGCCUUGGCUUGGUGUACUUCUCGGCCCGACGGGUCAGCAUCAAUUUUGCCCCUCGGAUAAUGGCAGGGGAAAGGUGGCACCUUUACGGGUGUGUUAUAGUCUCCUGUCGAAUGCGAGGGGUGGGAUUGAGGAACUCAGCGCGCACCUCAGUGUCGGGGCUUCGGCCCACGUCACGCGCUUAGGAUGCUGGCGUAAUGGCUUUAAACGACC